AUAACUUUACAAAGUUGUUUGAACAGUGGCUCUCUCCCUGCUCUUGUUCAUUAUAUGGGGUCAGGGUGUGGGAAGAGGCUUGGGGUGCAGGGUGCUGAGGAACAAAGGACAGGCUCCAACCUGUGACAUGCAGCAUGGCACCACCCCGUGGAAUAACGAGCCUGGGUUCUCCCAGUUAGAGCACUACCUGGCUUCCUGAAUAGCUACAUGGCCCCUGCGGGAGGAACAGGACAUUCUGAAGAUGUACUGCUUGGAUAUGAACGUCUCCUUUUCAUUGGAAGACGGGAGCGAGUUGUUUGAAAAGAUCUGAACUGAACAAAAAAGUUUGGCAGAAGGCGCUCAGCAAAACACACACAGAGAUGCCAGUCGACAAGGCUACAUGUGGCAGCCAGUUCUCCAAUACAAAGAAGUGAAGUCAAAAUGGGGUAAAUAUGAUACAGAGAGGUUUGUGGAAAUAUUGAAGACAUUCACUAAUUCACCAAAGCAAAUUAUAUCUAAAAUAUGAGCUAUCCAAGAAAACUACCAGGAUUUAAAUACAGAGAUUGGAGGGACAGCAAUUACUGAAAAGUAGUGUUGCAGAGAGAAACAGACAUAGAAAGUAUAACAAAUCAGGUAACAGACUGGGCAUGGUGGCUCACGCCUGCAAUCUCAGCACAUUGCAAGGCUGAGGCCAGUGGAUCACCUGAGGUCAGGAGUUCAAGACUAGCCUGGCCAACAAGGUAAAAACCCUAUCUCUACUAAAAAUACAAAAAUUAGCCAGAUGUGGUGGCGGGUGCUUUUAACCUCAGUACUUGGGAGGCCAACGCAGCACAAUUGCUUGAACCCAGGAGUUGGAGGUUGCAGUGAGCCGAGAUUGUGCCACUGCACUCCAGCCUGGGCAAGAGAGUGAGACUCUGUCUCAAAAAAAAAAAAAAUAGGUAACAGAAGAGCAGUCUAUAUCUAAGGAAGCAAAAUAGAUACUAUCUCUUCCUUUUGUCAUUUAAACACAGAUGAAUAAACAGUGGCCCAAUUAUUACUUAUGUACAUACUGAAUACUGGGAAUAAUUCUAGCCUUUAAUAGUUUAAAAUAGCAGUAAUGUCCAUGUCCAUUUAUUGAGCAUGUACUAUUUGCCAGUCUCUGUGUAAGGGGCUAUAUGAAGUCCAUCUGAUUUAACCCUUACAACAAAGCAGACGUAAUUAUAAACAAGUGACACAUUCAGAAAAUUAGGCUCAAAAGUUGAGUAACUUGCCCAAGGUCUUUCAGAAACAUGUGAAUGAGCCAAAGAUGAAAAUACAACUCAGUCAAGAGCCUGUUUCCUUCCACAAUCAAGUGGACUUUGUUCAACACACUCCAUAAACCAAAAUGAAAAUAUCUCCCAAACAACAUGAACCAAAGAGGAUAUAGAUUUCUAAAUCUAUUUUGAAAAGGAACUAUUAACUAAAGCUAAAUUUUAGUCAUCCCAAGGUCUAUCCAAACAAAGUCUUAAAGUUGAAAAAAAAGUUAGAGCCUUAAAACUGCUCGUAAUCAUUUUCUACUUUAGAAAAUCAAGUUAAAGAAAAUUAUCUGAAAGACAGAGACAGUGAUAUGCACUAGAAUGUUCAUCACACUACUUACAGUGGCAAAUAAAAUGGAAAUAACAAAGCCAACAACAAAAACUAGGUAAAAUAAAGUGUUCGUUUAUUGUAAUAUUUUGAAAUCACCAAAACAUUAUGUAAAAAUUGCUAUUGUUUGUGGAAAAUACCAAUCAAUGGAAAGUUGGAAAGUGGAAAGUGAAUUGUAUUGCACAAUGAACACAUUUUCAAAAUAUCUAUGCAUAGGAGAGAAAAAAAAUCUUCCUGGGAAAUAAAGCAAAAUUUAACAUUGGUUCUCACUCAAAGUUAAGACCAGAGUAGUGGAGUUUUUUAACUUUGUGAUUUCUGGACAUUUUCCAAUUUUUUUUUUUUUACUACGAACAUGUACUACUUUCAUGAUAGAAAAAAAUUUAAUCAGUAUUCCAAACAAAAAACCACAAAGAACCUGGGCAGACAAUGCCCUGAAAAGGAAAUGCACAUGUAUUCAUUCAUUGUCAAAAAGUUAGAGUUGUCAUUACAUUUCCAGCAGGCAAUAGAUACGGAUAUAGGAGUGAAUCAGAUAGACAAAAAUCCCCAUGACAACAGGGCUCUCUCCUCAACAAAGGACUGCAAUUCCUUCUAACUGCUUCACAGACUUCAUCAAAAAGUCUUCUCACAGGCUGUUUGGAAUACUUCACCUAUGGAUUCCUCAAUUAGCACAUGGGUACCUACAAUGCUCCAUCUGCCUCAUCCCUCUCUCCCUGCCCUGAAGUUGGCCACCUGGAUGCACCUCCAUGGACUUGUGCAAGUGUGAACCUCUGCAGAAGACUCAUGAGCACAUGUAGACAGCUGACCUGACUCUGUAGGAUUGGGAAAAGUCACAAAAACUUGAGAAUUUCAGGAUACCUCCUUCGGGACAACAAAUGGGAGGCUCUCAGUACCUGGCCUGAAUCUGCAGGAUUAAGAACACAAUCUUAAGAAAUCCCUCCAAGGGAGAAAAAAAAAAGAUGUAGAGCAGGCAGACCUGUAUAAGAGGUCUAAGAAAGCCUAAAAAAUCCUAGCUGGGCUGACUAGUACAGGUGUUUAUCUGCUAAAAUGAGACAUUAAAAACUGGGGGGGACUGCUUUUUCAAAUGCAAAGACAGAAAGGCAAGGGUGCCAGAAACAAACAAACAAACAAAUUUAAGAAAACACAAUUCUUCCAAAGAAGCACAAUAAUUUUCCAUUAACCAACCCCAAAGAAAUGAAGAUACAUACAUUGUCUGACAAAGAUUUCAAAAUAAUAGUUUUUAAAGAAGCUCAGUGAGGUAUAGGAGAACACAGAAAACUCAAUGACGUCAGGAAAACAAUACAUGAACAAAAACUAGAAGUUUAACAAAGAGAUGGAAAGAAUAUUUUAAAAGAAGAAUUCUGAAACUGAAGAAUAUGAUGAACGAAAUGAAAAACACAACAGACAACAGCAACAGCUAACUUGAUCAAGAAGAAUAAAGAAUCUUUGAGCUAGAUGAAAGGUCUUUUGAAAUUAUCCAUUCAGAGGAGAAAAAAGAAAAAAAAGAAUGAAAAGGAAUAAAGAAAGCCUAAAGAAUGUAUUGGAAAGCACCAACAGAAAUAAUAGAUGGACUAUGGGAAUAUGGGAAUACCAGGAUGAAAAAGGAGAGAGAAAAGGCCAGAAAUCUCAUUUAAAGAAAUAAUGGCUUGAAAACACUCCAAAUAUGCGGAGAUAUACGGACAUCCAGAUACAUGAAGCUUAAAGGUUUCAAGUAGUUGAACCCAGACAAGAUUUUACAAAAACACAUUGCAAUCAAACUAUUAAAAAUAAAAGACAAAGAGAUAAUUUUGAAAGCAUCAAGAGAAAAGAUACUCACUACACAUAGGGAACUCCAACUUAUGUGUCUGUUGAUGGAAAAAUGAAUGAAGUAAAUUUGGUAUGUAUAUAUAUAUUAAACGUAUUAGUCAGCCCUAAAUACUAUUCAGCCUUUAAAAAACAAAAAGAA
rnacentral:lncRNA from 10 species